rnacentral:rRNA from 2 species
GCCAACGACUAUACCACGUUGAAUACACCAGUUCUCGUCCGAUCACUGAAGUUCAGCAGCGUCGGGCGCAGUCAGUACUUGGGUGGGUGACCGCUUGAGAACACUGCGUGCCGUUGGCA